CAUCCCCUGCCUCUCACAUUCCCAUGGCAGAGGUGGAUGCUGCCCAAGACCCAGAGCUGCACUCGCCCAGCUUGCACCAGCCAGCAUCCACACAUGAGCUCCUCCACCCUACACUGCUCCCAGCAGGUCAAUAGGGGUGUGUCCCAUACCUGAGAUGCCACCUAAAACACUACCUACAGAAACAAAGUACUACUUGGACAACCCCAGGAAGACUGAUGCCAUGACUGAUGCAUUUCCUUAGCUUCACAUGCAGAGAACAGUUCGGACAUACAAGGAAGUAUUCCACAUCAAUCAGUCUCACAGAAAGGCAUCUCGUGAUGCCCAGAGCAUCAGUACACCCUGAGCUCCAGAACAGGCACCACAGCAGCAGGCUGGAGCACCUGGGAGCACUGGGCUCCCCAGCAGUACCCAUCUGCCUUGGAGAAGCAAUAAAACCACGCACAUACUUAUCAUCCUGA
rnacentral:lncRNA from 1 species